rnacentral:lncRNA from 1 species
UUAGCUAGCAAGAUCCGAGCUGCAUAGUUUAGAUAAUGGUUUAGCCUCCAUGCUGCCAGAUAGCCUUGCAGAGUCGGCAAAGAGCUCGUCGAGGCCGGGACGGAGGCCGCUCCCGAGGUCGGGGCAGAGGCUGCUCCCGAGGUCGAGACCAAGGCCGUUCGAGCUAACUGAGCUUUCUUCCGCCUAUCCCCCCUUUUCUUUUAUUCUUGUAAAGUCGGCCACCUAGGCUUUUGUGGUUUACCUUCGUAUUCGUGCCGACUUCAAGGUUGGCUUCAAGGUGGGCUUCCCGAGCCGAGCUCAGGUGAUACUGUCACAUCACUCGAAGCGAAAACGGCUACGAGGGCCCUUUAAUGUGUGGCGUGUGCACUCCCUUUCGAAGAGUUGCUUUGCGGAAUACGAUGGGCCAAUCAUUAAUGCCCCCAUCUUCCGAAGCGUUC